GGAUGAACGCUAGCGGCAGGCUUCAUACAUGCAAGUCGAGGGGCAGCAUAAAUUACUUGUAAUUUGAUGGCGACCGGCGAACGGGUGCGUAACGCGUAUGCAACUUACCUUUUACUAGAGAAUAGCCAAGAGAAAUUUUGAUUAAUGCUCUAUGUUCUUAUUUACUCGCAUGAGUAAAUAAGCAAAGCUCCGGCGGUAAAAGAUGGGCAUGCGUCCUAUUAGCUUGUAGGUGAGGUAAUGGCUCACCUAAGCUCCGAUAGGUAGGGGUCCUGAGAGGGAGAUCCCCCACACUGGUACUGAGACACGGACCAGACUUCUACGGAAGGCAGCAGUAAGGAAUAUUGGACAAUGGAGGCAACUCUGAUCCAGCCAUGCCGCGUGAAGGAAGACGGCCUUAUGGGUUGUAAACUUCUUUAUACAGGAAGAAACCUUUCCACGUGUGGAAAGUUGACGGUACUGUAAGAAUAAGGAUCGGCUAACUCCGUGCCAGCAGCCGCGGUAAUACGGAGGAUCCAAGCGUUAUCCGGAUUCAUUGGGUUUAAAGGGUCCGUAGGCGGAUUUUUAAGUCAGUGGUGAAAGCCGACAGCUCAACUGUCGAACUGCCAUUGAUACUGGAAAUCUUGAGUACAAAUGAAGUAGGCGGAAUGAGUCAUGUAGCGGUGAAAUGCAUAGAUAUGACUCAGAACACCAAUUGCGAAGGCAGCUUACUAACAUGUAACUGACGCUGAGGGACGAAAGCGUGGGGAGCGAACAGGAUUAGAUACCCUGGUAGUCCACGCCGUAAACGAUCAUCACUCGCUGUUGGCGAUAUACAGUCAGCGGCCAAGCGAAAGUAUUAAGUGAUGCACCUGGGGAGUACGCCGGCAACGGUGAAACUCAAAGGAAUUGACGGGGGCCCGCACAAGCGGUGGAGCAUGUGGUUUAAUUCGAUGAUACGCGAGGAACCUUACCAGGGCUUAAAUGUAGUUUGACCGGUCUGGAAACAGACUUUCUCUUCGGAGCAGAUUACAAGGUGCUGCAUGGUUGUCGUCAGCUCGUGCCGUGAGGUGUUAGGUUAAGUCCUGCAACGAGCGCAACCCCUAUUCUUAGUUGCCAGCGGUUCGGCCGGGGACUCUAAGAAGACUGCCAGCGCAAGCUGAGAGGAAGGUGGGGAUGACGUCAAAUCAUCACGGCCCUUACGUCCUGGGCUACACACGUGCUACAAUGGUAGAGACAGAGGGCAGCCACCUGGUGACAGGGAGCGAAUCCUUAAACUCUAUCUCAGUUCGGAUCGAAGUCUGCAACUCGACUUCGUGAAGCUGGAAUCGCUAGUAAUCGCGCAUCAGCCAUGGCGCGGUGAAUACGUUCCCGGGCCUUGCACACACCGCCCG
rnacentral:rRNA from 1 species